GAGAGAAGCACAUCAGCAGAAGACAAGGCAAGCGGCAGGCAGGCAGAAGAGCACACCAACUGACUGCGGCAUGCCCGCAGGCCACUGGCUGGUGGGACGAGGCAGAGUUUGGCCAGGGCAGUCAGAGAGCUGGGGUGCCCAGUGGCCCAACUCCAAGGGAAAACCAUCUCCCUCAUAGUUCCCCAUUGGCAGACAGCUAUUUCCACUCAAAACUUUGCACUCAUUCUCCAAGCCCGCUAGUGAUCCAGUUCUUCAGUAGACCAAGGCAAGAACCGGGAAUACAAAAAGCCCUCUGUCCUUGCAAGGAGGUAGAGCGUCUAAUUGAGCUGGUUAACAAAAGCCGCCUAUACAUGCAAACUCAGAGCACCCUGUAACACAUGCCCACUGGGGCUUCAGAAGCUGCAAACAUUCACCCCUACAGAGUGCGGGAGGGAGUCAGAGCCCCACAGCCUGCCUGUCUGUAUGCUUCCCAAGAGGUGUGAGCAGCAGGGCACUGAAGAAGCGAGUCACUCCCCAUGUCUCAUGCCCUGUGAGGGGGACAAGACCCAGCAUUUCUCCCUCGGGAGGAUGCAGCAUCAAGCUGCCAUCUUUGAAGCAGAGACCGCACCCUCAUCAGACAUGGAAUCUACUGGCACCUUGAUUUUGGACUUCCCAGAUUCCAGAACUGUAAGAGAAUAAAUCUCUACUCUUU
rnacentral:lncRNA from 10 species